rnacentral:rRNA from 1 species
AUUGAACGCUGGCGGCAGGCCUAACACAUGCAAGUCGAACGGUAACAGGAAGAGGCUUGCUUCUUUGCUGACGAGUGGCGGACGGGUGAGUAAUGUCUGGGAAACUGCCUGAUGGAGGGGGAUAACUACUGGAAACGGUAGCUAAUACCGCAUAAUGUCGCAAGACCAAAGAGGGGGACCUUCGGGCCUCUUGCCAUCGGAUGUGCCCAGAUGGGAUUAGCUAGUAGGUGGGGUAACGGCUCACCUAGGCGACGAUCCCUAGCUGGUCUGAGAGGAUGACCAGCCACACUGGAACUGAGACACGGUCCAGACUCCUACGGGAGGCAGCAGUGGGGAAUAUUGCACAAUGGGCGCAAGCCUGAUGCAGCUAUGCCGCGUGUAUGAAGAAGGCCUUCGGGUUGUAAAGUACUUUCAGCGGGGAGGAAGGGAGUAAAGUUAAUACCUUUGCUCAUUGACGUUACCCGCAGAAGAAGCACCGGCUAACUCCGUG